CGAAGGGGGCUAGCGUUGCUCGGAAUUACUGGGCGUAAAGGGCGCGUAGGCGGACAGUUUAGUCAGAGGUGAAAGCCCAGGGCUCAACCUUGGAAUUGCCUUUGAUACUGACUGUCUUGAGUUCGGGAGAGGUGAGUGGAAUGCCGAGUGUAGAGGUGAAAUUCGUAGAUAUUCGGCGGAACACCAGUGGCGAAGGCGACUCACUGGCCCGAUACUGACGCUGAGGCGCGAAAGCGUGGGGAGCAAACAGGAUUAGAUACCCUGGUAGUCCACGCUGUAAACGAUGAGUGCUAGUUGUCGGCAUGCAUGCAUGUCGGUGACGCAGCUAACGCAUUAAGCACACCGCCUGGGGAGUACGGUCGCAAGAUUA
rnacentral:rRNA from 1 species